UGGGGAAUAUUGCACAAUGGGCGAAAGCCUGAUGCAGCAACGCCGCGUGAGUGAUGAAGGUCUUCGGAUUGUAAGGCUCUGUCUUUUGGGACGAUAAUGACGGUACCAAAGGAGGAAGCCACGGCUAACUACGUGCCAGCAGCCGCGGUAAUACGUAGGUGGCGAGCGUUGUCCGGAUUUACUGGGCGUAAAGGGUGCGUAGGCGGAUGUUUAAGUGAGAUGUGAAAUACCCGGGCUUAACUUGGGUGCUGCAUUUCAAACUGGAUAUCUAGAGUGCAGGAGAGGAGAAUGGAAUUCCUAGUGUAGCGGUGAAAUGCGUAGAGAUUAGGAAGAACACCAGUGGCGAAGGCGAUUCUCUGGACUGUAACUGACGCUGAGGCACGAAAGCGUGGGUAGCAAACAGGAUUAGAUACCCUGGUAGUCCACGCCGUAAACGAUGAGUACUAGGUGUAGGAGGUAUCGACCCCUUCUGUGCCGCAGUAAACACAUUAAGUACUCCGCCUGGGAAGUACGAUCGCAAGAUUAAAAC
rnacentral:rRNA from 1 species